ACACCGGCGGCCCGAGUGGUGAUCGUGAUUAUUGGGUCUAAAGGGUGCGCAGGCGGGAGAUUAAGUCGGCGGUGAAAUUUUGCAGCUCAACUGUAAAAGUGCCUUCGAAACUGGUUUCCUUGAGUGUAGAUGAAGUAGGCGGAAUUUGUGGUGUAGCGGUGAAAUGCAUAGAUAUCACGAGGAACUCCGAUUGCGCAGGCAGCUUACUAAACUACUACUGACGCUCAGGCACGAAGGCGUGGGGAUCAAACAGGAUUAGAUACCCUGGUAGUCCACGCAGUAAACGAUGAUUACUAGCUGGUUGCGAUACAAUGUAAGCGGCUGAGCGAAAGCGUUAAGUAAUCCACCUGGGGAGUACGUUCGCAAGAAUGAA
rnacentral:rRNA from 1 species